GUGUAAGGUGGGUGUGUUGUGUGCAUAAAGGUAGCUAGUUCUGCACACACAUGAGACUGUUUACAGUGGAGCUGGGAGGAUGGAGUUGGGUCAGAGUCGGCACACCUGCUUGGCUCAUGGGACUGGCCAAACUGGAUUUUGUAAAAAGACAGGGUUAGCUUAAAAAGGCACUGUUAGUCACCAUUAAGUUUUGAAUAUUUUAUCCACUGAAAUCACUCCAUAAAUUGCUGAUUCAAAUUGAGACAGAUGUGAGAACAUCCCAGUCUCAGUACAAUUAUAGUUUAUAGAAUUAUUUUCUUGCUUGUGACAGUGAACCUGAAUCCCAUCUUAGGGAGGAAGCAGCUAAGCCCCAUGCUAACCCCUUCCCCAGAGGGUGAUGUCGUCUCUCUUGGCAGGUGGCCAGCAGAGCUCUGAAAAUCCCCACCUCUAAGAUUUACAUCAGCGAGACAAGCACUAAUACCGUGCCCAACACCUCUCCCACAGCCGCCUCAGUCAGCACUGACCUCAACGGACAGGCCGUCUACGAAGCGUGUCAGACCAUCCUGAAAAGGCUGGAACCCUUCAAGA